AGAUUGAACGCUGGCGGCAUGCCUUACACAUGCAAGUCGAACGGCAGCACGGGAGCAAUCCUGGUGGCGAGUGGCGAACGGGUGAGUAAUACAUCGGAACGUGCCCAAUCGUGGGGGAUAACGCGAGCGAAAGCUGUGCUAAUACCGCAUAGGAUCUAACGGAUGAAAGCAGGGGAUCGCAAGACCUUGCGCGAAUGGAGCGGCCGAUGGCAGAGUUAGGUAGUUGGUGAAGGUAAAGGCUCAACCAAGCCUUCGAUCUGUAGCUGGUCUGAGAGACGACAGCCACACGUGGACUGAGACACGGCCAGACCUCGUAGGAGGCAGCGAGGUGGGGUAAUUUGGAACAAGUACGGGACGAAACGCCGUAGAC
rnacentral:rRNA from 1 species